ACGAACGCUUGCGGCGUGCUUAACACAUGCAAGUCGAACGGAAAGGCCCUGCUUUUGUGGGGUGCUCGAGUGGCGAACGGGUGAGUAACACGUGAGUAACCUGCCCUUGACUUUGGGAUAACUUCAGGAAACUGGGGCUAAUACCGGAUAGGAGCUCCUUCUGCAUGGUGGGGGUUGGAAAGUUUCGGCGGUUGGGGAUUGACUCGCGGCUUAUCAGCUUGUUGGUUGGGUAGUGGCUUACCAAGGCUUUGACGGGUAGCCGGCCUGAGAGGGUGACCGGCAACAUUGGGACUGAGAUACGGCCCAGACUCCUACGGGAGGCAGCAGUGGGGAAUAUUGCACAAUGGGCGGAAGCAUGAUGCAGCAACGCCGCGUGCGGGAUGACGGCCUUCGGGUUGUAAACCGAUUUCGCCUGUGACGAAGCGUGAGUGACGGUAAUGGGUAAAGAAGCACCGGCUAACUACGUG
rnacentral:rRNA from 1 species